UACGAAGGGGGCUAGCGUUGUUCGGAAUUACUGGGCGUAAAGCGCGCGCAGGCGGUCUUCCAAGUCAGUGGUGAAAGCCCGGGGCUCAACCCCGGAAUUGCCUUUGAGACUGCAUCGCUAGAAUUGUGGAGAGGUAAGUGGAAUUCCGAGUGUAGAGGUGAAAUUCGUAGAUAUUCGGAAGAACACCAGUGGCGAAGGCGACUUACUGGACACAUAUUGACGCUGAGGUGCGAAAGCGUGGGGAGCAAACAGG
rnacentral:rRNA from 1 species